AGCGAACGCUGGCGGCAGGCCUAACACAUGCAAGUCGAACGAAGUCUUCGGACUUAGUGGCGGACGGGUGAGUAACACGUGGGAACGUACCUUUUGGUUCGGAACAACUCAGGGAAACUUGAGCUAAUACCGGAUGAGCCCUUAGGGGGAAAGAUUUAUCGCCGAAAGAGCGGCCCGCGUUAGAUUAGCUAGUUGGUGAGGUAAAGGCUCACCAAGGCUACGAUCUAUAGCUGGUCUGAGAGGAUGAUCAGCCACACUGGGACUGAGACACGGCCCAGACUCCUACGGGAGGCAGCAGUGGGGAAUCUUGCGCAAUGGGCGAAAGCCUGACGCAGCCAUGCCGCGUGAAUGAUGAAGGUCUUAGGAUUGUAAAAUUCUUUUACCAGGGACGACAAUGACGGUACCUGGAGAAAAAGCCCCGGCUAACUUCGUGCCAGCCGCCGCAGUAAUAC
rnacentral:rRNA from 1 species